rnacentral:rRNA from 1 species
GGCUUUUGUGGAAUGUAAAAAGUUCUACGAAUAAGGACUGGGUAAGACUAGUGCCAGCCGCCGCGGUAAUACUAGCGGUCCAAGUCGCAGCCAUUCUUAUUGGGUCUAAAACAUCCGUAGCUUGCUUGAUAAGUUUUCUGUGAAAUCUCUUAUCUCAAGUAUAAGAAUUGUGGAAAAUACUGUCAAGCUAGAGACCGGGAGACGUAAAGAGUACGUCUAAAGUAGCGGUAAAAUGUGUUGAUCUUAGGCGGACUGACGAUAGCGAAGGCACUUUACGAGAACGGUUCUGACAGUAAGGGAUGAAGGCUAGGGGCGCAAAACGGAUUAGAUACCCGUGUAGUCCUAGCAGUAAACACUGCACACUAAACCUUGUGAUCUCUUCGAGAGAUUGCAGGGCUGCAGGGAAGCCGAAGAGUGUGCUACCUGGGAAGUAUAGUCGCAAGGCUGAAACUUAAAGGAAUUGGCGGGGAGACACUACAACGGGUGACGCGUGCGGUUCAAUUAGAUUAUACACCGUGAACCUCACCAGGAGCGACAGCAGAAUGAAGGUCAGUCUAAAGGGCUUACCUGACACGCUGAGAGGGGUUGCAUGGCCGACGUCAGCCUGUGCUGUGAGGCGAUCUGUUAAAUCAGAUAACAGGCAAGACCCACAUCUUUAUUUAC